CGGACGGGUGAGUAACACGUGGAUAACCUACCUAUAAGACUGGGAUAACUUCGGGAAACCGGAGCUAAUGCCGGAUAAUAUAUUGAACCGCAUGGUUCAAUAGUGAAAGACGGUUUUGCUGUCACUUAUAGAUGGAUCCGCGCCGCAUUAGCUAGUUGGUAAGGUAACGGCUUACCAAGGCAACGAUGCGUAGCCGACCUGAGAGGGUGAUCGGCCACACUGGAACUGAGACACGGUCCAG
rnacentral:rRNA from 1 species